UUAAGUUGCAGGGUAUAGACCCGAAACCCGGUGAUCUAGCCAUGGGCAGGUUGAAGGUUGGGUAACACUAACUGGAGGACCGAACCGACUAAUGUUGAAAAAUUAGCGGAUGACCUGUGGCUGGGGGUGAAAGGCCAAUCAAACCGGGAGAUAGCUGGUUCUCCCCGAAAGCUAUUUAGGUAGCGCCUCGUGAAUUCAUCUCCGGGGGUAGAGCACUGUUUCGGCUAGGGGGCCAUCCCGGCUUACCAACCCGAUGCAAACUGCGAAUACCGGAGAAUGUUAUCACGGGAGACACACGGCGGGUGCUAACGUCCGUCGUGAAGAGGGAAACAACCCAGACCGCCAGCUAAGGUCCCAAAGUCAUGGUUAAGUGGGAAACGAUGUGGGAAGGCCCAGACAGCCAGGAUGUUGGCUUAGAAGCAGCCAUCAUUUAAAGAAAGCGUAAUAGCUCACUGGUCGAGUCGGCCUGCGCGGAAGAUGUAACGGGGCUAAACCAUGCACCGAAGCUGCGGCAGCGACGCUGAUGCGUUGUUGGGUAGGGGAGCGUUCUGUAAGCCUGUGAAGGUGUGUCGUGAGGC
rnacentral:rRNA from 1 species